CUUCUUGAUUUCUGCCUUGUGAAUCCCUAUAAUAAAGGGGUCGGGGCAACCUGACUAAGAUGCUAAACCCUUUAUGGAAUAGACGUCAUGGACCCGGGGGCAGUGCCCGGCGGCUCCACCAUGAAUGGCCAAUGAACUGUUUGGAAUGAAACAACUUUAUUGACCAUUGAUGAUGGGGCCGAAACAGGAUCGACAUGAGUAAUAAAGAUAAAGUCUGUAUCCGUUUGAGACACGGUCGUAUCCGUUCAAGCAUAAUAAAUGCAAAUGAUAACGUACAAACCGUAGCAGCUAAUGACAACUCUUUCGUUGUUGCUGGUGAUAAAAUCGCUGCUUAAUUGCGCCGAUGAAGCUACAUAAUCCCUCUGGCUACGGCUAGGGGUGGGGCGUGGGGCGGCCUAUCAACAGAACAGCCCCAUU
rnacentral:tmRNA from 1 species